GAUGAAGAACGUAGCGAAAUGCGAUAAGUAGUGUGAAUUGCAGAAUUCAGUGAAUCAUCGAAUCUUUGAACGCACAUUGCGCCCCUUGGUAUUCCAUGGGGCAUGCCUGUUCGAGCGUCAUUUGUACCUUCAAGCUUUGCUUGGUGUUGGGUGUUUGUCCAUUCUCUUGCAGAGGGACUCGCCUUAAAGUAAUUGGCAGCCAGUGUUUUGGUUUUGAAGCGCAGCACAAGUCGCGAUUCAAAGCUAUACGCCCGCUUCCACAAGCCUUUUUCACUUUUGACCUCGGAUCAGGUAGGGAUACCCGCUGAACUUAAGCAUAUCAAUAAGCGA
rnacentral:misc_RNA from 1 species